GACGAACGCUGGCGGCGUGCUUAACACAUGCGAGUCGAACGGAAAGGCCCUGCUUUUGUGGGGUGCUCGAGUGGCGAACGGGUGAGUAACACGUGAGUAACCUGCCCUUGACUUUGGGAUAACUUCAGGAAACUGGGGCUAAUACCGGAUAGGAGCUCCUGCUGCAUGGUGGGGGUUGGAAAGUUUCGGCGGUUGGGGAUGGACUCGCGGCUUAUCAGCUUGUUGGUGGGGUAGUGGCUUACCAAGGCUUUGACGGGUAGCCGGCCUGAGAGGGUGACCGGCCACAUUGGGACUGAGAUACGGCCCAGACUCCUACGGGAGGCAGCAGUGGGGAAUAGUGCACAAUGGGCGGAAGCCUGAUGCAGCAACGCCGCGUGCGGGAUGACGGCCUUCGGGUUGUAAACCGCUUUCGCCUGUGACGAAGCGUGAGUGACGGUAAUGGGUAAAGAAGCACCGGCUAACUACGCG
rnacentral:rRNA from 1 species